rnacentral:rRNA from 1 species
UACAGAGGUCCCAAGCGUUGUUCGGAUUCACUGGGCGUAAAGGGUGCGUAGGCGGUCGGGUAAGUCUGAUGUGAAAUCUCACAGCUUAACUGUGAAACUGCAUUGGAUACUAUUCGGCUUGAGAGUUGGAGGGGGGACUGGAAUUCUUGGUGUAGCAGUGAAAUGCGUAGAUAUCGAGAGGAACACCAGUGGCGAAGGCGAGUCCCUGGACACUUCCUGACACUGAGGCACGAAAGCUAGGGGAGCAAACAGG